ACGCGCUCGGCCUUUUCCGUCCGGGAAGUGUGGCGUGCGCGUCGUUCCUGUGCGGUCGUGUUUUGUGCACUAGAAUGCUGACUGGGACAGGGCUUUUUGGCUUAGUUACGAUGCAGGCGGUUCAGGAGUCUUGUAGCGAUAGCGCGAGGCCGGCCUCGAAAGCCUGCAGGCUGGGAAGCCUGCGCGGACGCGGGGGUGCUGUAGGUCGCGCGGCGGCCACGUGCAGCCCUGGGCGCUGAGUCCCAGGCCGCGCGCCGUGGGCCCUGGCCCCGCAGGCACAGGCUCAGCGCACCUGACGACCCCGGGAAGGUCAGUAAGCGCUGCCGGCGCCAUGUGGCCGUGGCGAACCCACGCCGCUAGUCAGUGGUGACACCGCACGCGGACGCCGCCAAUGUGACCCACGCGGAAGCGGCGCUAACUGUUCCGAUGGGUGAUGGCACAUAUAAUACGGGAAUCAGGAAAUGCAGAAUGAAAUGGAAACGGGUGACGUCUUAGCAUCUGCUGUGCACUGAACAAACGUGAUUUUAAAUUUCAGCAGAUCCAGGAUUGAGUGGCAAAUGAUGUUCUGGAAAGUAGCCGGGCAUUAUUUUCAAUAUAGGUCUGAAUGUCUUUUGGUUUUUUUUUUAAACGAUAUUUAAGAGAAUGAGUGCUUACUUGUUAAAUAAAAUGCUUGAUUCAUCUGAAUAAUCA